GACGUAGGGGGCUAGCGUUGUUCGGAAUUACUGGGCGUAAAGCGCGCGUAGGCGGACCUGCAAGUCGGGGGUGAAAGCCCGAGGCUCAACCUCGGAACUGCCUUCGAUACUGCGGGUCUCGAGUCCGGGAGAGGUGAGUGGAAUUCCUAGUGUAGAGGUGAAAUUCGUAGAUAUUAGGAAGAACACCAGUGGCGAAGGCGGCUCACUGGCCCGGUACUGACGCUGAGGCGCGAAAGCGUGGGGAGCAAGCAGG
rnacentral:rRNA from 1 species